rnacentral:rRNA from 1 species
AGAGUUUGAUCAUGGCUCAGGACGAACGCUGGCGGCGUGCUUAACACAUGCAAGUCGAGCGGUAAGGCCCUUUGGGGUACACGAGCGGCGAACGGGUGAGUAACACGUGAGCAAUCUGCCCUGCACUUCGGGAUAACCCCCGGAAACGGGAGCUAAUACCGGAUAUGACCACUUCACGCAUGUGAUGGUGGUGGAAAGUUCUGGCGGUGCAGGAUGAGCUCGCGGCCUAUCAGCUUGUUGGUGGGGUAAUGGCCUACCAAGGCUUCGACGGGUAGCCGGCCUGAGAGGGUGACCGGCCACACUGGGACUGAGACACGGCCCAGACUCCUACGGGAGGCAGCAGUGGGGAAUAUUGGACAAUGGGCGAAAGCCUGAUCCAGCAACGCCGCGUGAGGGAUGACGGCCUUCGGGUUGUAAACCUCUUUCAGCGCAGACGAAGCGAAAGUGACGGUAUGCGCAGAAGAAGCACCGGCCAACUACGUGCCAGCCGCCGCGGUAAUAC